rnacentral:rRNA from 1 species
GACGAACGCUGGCGGCGUGCCUAACACAUGCAAGUCGAACGGAAAGACCCGGCUUUUGUUGGUUGCUUGAUUGGCGAACGGGUGAGUAACACGUGAGUAACCUGCCCUUAAAUGUGUGAUAACUUCAGGAAACUGGGGCUAAUACCGGAUAGAAGCUCCUGCAGCAUGGUGUUGGUUGGAAAGGUUCGGCGUUUGUGGAUCGACUCGCGGGUUAUCAGCUUGAUUGUGUGGUAGUGGCUUACCAGGGCUUUGACGGGUAGCCGGCCUGAGAGGGUGACCGGGGACAUUGGGACUGCGAGAGGGAGCAGUAUCCUACGGGAGGCAGAAGUGGGGAAUAUUGCACAAUGGGCGGAAGUCUGAUGCAGCAACGCCGGGUGCGGGAUGCCGGCUUUCGGGUUGUAAACCGCUUUGGCAUGUGAUGAAGAGUGAGUGACGGUACUGGGUCAAGAAGCCCCGGCUAACUACGUG